rnacentral:rRNA from 1 species
GAUGAACGCUAGCGGCAGGCCUAACACAUGCAAGUCGAGGGAGAAGCCCUUCGGGGCAGAAACCGGCGCACGGGUGCGUAACGCGUAUGCAACCUACCUUUCACAGGGGGAUAGCCCGAAGAAAUUUGGAUUAAUACCCCAUAAUAUUAUUGGAUGGCAUCAUUUGAUAAUUAAAAUUACGAUGGUGAAAGAUGGGCAUGCGUCCUAUUAGCUAGUUGGAGUGGUAACGGCACCCCAAGGCUACGAUAGGUAGGGGUCCUGAGAGGGAGAUCCCCCACACUGGUACUGAGACAGGGACCAGACUCCUACGGGAGGCAGCAGUGAGGAAUAUUGGUCAAUGGUCGGAAGACUGAACCAGCCAUGCCGCGUGCAGGAAGAAUGCCUUAUGGGUUGUAAACUGCUUUUAUAUGGGAAGAAUAAGGUGUACGUGUACAUUGAUGACGGUACCAUAUGAAUAAGCAUCGGCA